rnacentral:rRNA from 1 species
AUACCGCAUGACGUUCUGGGUUUAAAGACCUGGAAACCAAAGCCGGGGACCGCAAGGCCUGGCGCUUGAAGAGGAGCCCGCGUCCGAUUAGCUAGUUGGCGGGGUAAUGGCCCACCAAGGCGACGAUCGGUAGCCGGCCUGAGAGGGCGGACGGCCACACUGGAACUGAGACACGGUCCAGACUCCUACGGGAGGCAGCAGUGGGGAAUUGUUCACAAUGGGCGCAAGCCUGAUGACGCAACGCCGCGUGGGGGAUGAAGGUCUUCGGAUUGUAAACCCCUGUCGAAUGGGACGAAAGACCCGGGAGCUAAUCAUCCUGGGAGUGACGGUACCGUUAAAGGAAGCCACGGCUAACUCUGUGCCAGCAGCCG